CACAGUUGUUUAAUAUAUUAAUGGAAUUGGAGAGAAUACUACUUCAGGUCUCUAAUAGACAAAUUGGUAAAUAGUAACUCCAUUAUGCAAUGCUGUUUUUCCUUUGAAUAACUUGGUAUGAUUUUGUUCCGUGCUCGCUGUCAUUGGUAACCUGUUUUCCUCCUAAGUUGUAGUUGUCCAGUUUGGAAGACUGCUUCUGGUUUACUUUAACACUUCUGCAGCAUUCACCUGUUUUAUGCUGCCUGAAGAGAGCAAAAUGGAUCCUCAAAUGUUUAAAUCUGUUGCUAUGGUUAGGAUGAUAGUUCUGUAGCGAUGUGGAGAUGCUGUAGGUGUUUGAAUUAUCUCUUUAGUAGAGAGUUAGUGGUUUGGUGGUUUUGGGGUUUCCCCCCCCUCCGUGUUUACUAGGGUAAAAUGUACUCAGGGCUCGAGUUUUGCAAUUCUUAGGCGAACAGAGGCAUGCAUCCUGGUGCAACUGAGUUUCUGGAUGUUUCUGUUGGCAGUGGUGAAAUUAUUUAACAAUCACUGUCCAUUUUUAGUGAUUUUAGGGGUGAUGAAACUUACAAUUUAGGAUUUUCUGAAGGCCCAUAUACAAAGGUUGUGCAAUGUUAAUGAUUUCAUCCCAUGCUGAAUUACUAAAUGUUCUCAGGAGGACUCCAUGCUGACUUUUGCAUUAUGCUUGAUGCAGGGAAAGACUAUGCUGAUGGAAGGUUAAAUCAUCUGUGUUGUAUUAUGCUUUACCUCUGGCACUCAGCUUUUAAGAAGUCAUGUGCUUCAGUAUGUGUUUACUUGUGAACUUUUGGGCCAGUUUGAAAGGAAUGAGUGGGGUUUCUGAAUGGGUGUAAGACGUCUGCUUUGUAUUCAAGUGGAUUACCUAUGUUAGAAUUUAAAUGUAUUGAGUCCUACUUAAGGAGAUAACCAAUUUACUUGUACAUGGUGGUCUGCCUGGGGAUCAGCCAGUGUUAGGUUAAACUGCAAACAUUUAUAUUGAAGGACUUUUGUAUUCUGAUCAGCUUGUACAGUGCGUCAGCUUCAGCUGUUGUUUAACAGUGUUUUUAGUGGUUGGACUCAAUGAUCUUAAGGGUCUUUUCCAACUUAAAUGACCCAGUGAGUCAAACUUUGAAAAGUAAAACAAAAUCUCAGGGUCUGGAAGAAAGAUACUGUGUCUAAGGCUGUGUGGCAGCAACUGGAUGUAGAUUUAACUCCCAGCUUUAGAAGACACUGCUUGUGUGGCCUCCUCAUGGAGGAGAAUAUGAAGGUGGCUGUCUCUGCUUCCUGUUAGUUAAUCAGAAGGACUAAAUCACUGGAUAGUGGGCCUGGUGCGUGUGUAGCUCUUCCUGGCGGACUACAAACACGCAUACUGAAAGCUGCACUGAAUGGCAACGUUUGCCAAAUAUCCUUGUCAGAUUUCCAUUUUGGGGGGGGGGGGGGCAUGGAGGAAAGAUGACUAUCUUUGAUAGAUCAGACAGCCAGAGAAGUUGAGGGUUUAAAGGGCAUUCAUAACUGGACAAGUGUCUCAUGGGGAAUACCAUGCAGGCGGUGGUAGAAUGUUGGUGGUGGCAGAGUCCCAGAGGAUAGAAUGUUUGUGGUUUCCCAGGGGAUCAAAUGUUGUGGUGAUGUCAAGGCAGAUAGAAUCUUUGUGGUGUCCAGGGGUUGAUAGCCCAUACACCAGGACAGGUAUGUAAAGGGCUGCGUGGUGACAAGGGACAAGGGCCAGAGCAGCCUGGGGGCAACCAGAGCCAGAAGCUCCCACAAGGAGAGGACCAGAACAUGGCACACUCCUGACCUUGGCCACGCAGCCGGACAUUUGCCACCUCCUGCAAGGGCACAAAGUUAAGUCAUGGAGCCUGGCAGAGCCCUGGGCAGGGGCUGCCCAUGGUACACCAGUGUGGCUGCAGUGUAGUUUGUUCCCCUACCUUUUGCAGACAUGGGCUCAGACAGGGAAUAGACCAGCCCAUGGUGCACUCCCAUCCUCAGUCACACAGCAUGAGAUUCACUUCUUUCUAGGAAGGACGCUGACACAAACCACAGGCACGGAGCAGGACAGGAUGAGACCACAGCGCACUCUGGUCCUCAGCCACUCAGAGACAUUCACUACCUUCUAUAAGGACACAGCAGAUGCAGACCCAGACAGCAAAUGAGCUGGACCAUGGCGCACUCCCGUCCUCAGUCACACAGCAUGAGAUUCGCUUCAUUCUCGGAAGAACGCUGAUACAAAGUUAAGUGAUCUAGUCAGUCAGAGCCCUGGGCAGGGGUGGCCCAUGUGAACGAGGGUGGCUGCUGCCUUUGCUUGUUGUCCUUCCAAUUGCAGCCACAAGCCAUGACCCGGAGUGGACCAGACCAUGCUGCACUCCUGUCCUCAGACGCACUGAGGGAGAGACUGGCAGACGAGCUUGUUGACAUGCUGUUGGGAAGAAUGAGGACAUUGACAGUGACAGGACACAGUUGAAAAUGUAACUACUUGACCGACGCAGGCCCAGAUGGACAGGACCAGACCACUGUGUGCUCCCUGCCUUCUCUCAGCAGCUGCUCAACCAGAGAUUUCUGUAGCCUUCAACAACAAGGAAGCCACUGACCUAAGGACAAGGAAGUACAGCCAGCCUCAGCCUGCACCUCAUUGUGUUCCCUCAGGAGCUGGAGGCCAUUGGCAAGGGGAGCUCUGUGCCACUCACCCUCUCUGUGAAAUUGACCUGAAACAAAUUUUUCUGAUUCGUGA